GCGGGCGUGGCGGAAUGGCAGACGCGCUGGACUUAGGAUCCAGUGGGUUAACUCCCGUGAAGGUUCAAGUCCUUUCGCCCGCACCA
rnacentral:tRNA from 2 species